rnacentral:miRNA from 1 species
AUAAUAACAAUAAUGAUGA